AUCAGUAUAAUUAUCAAUAUUAUCGCUUAUCUGCUAGAUGCAAUUUCCUACCCAUUUGGGCUUCCCACCGCCGCUCAAUGAUGUCGAUGUACUCCUGGGCAUGGGCUACAUCUGCCUCCAUGAUCUGAGCCUUUGCCUUCUCCAUCAUGUGAUACAAAAAGCCCAUCUGGGGGUACCUCUCGCUAUCCACGGCCCGCAGCACUUCAUAUAAUGGUUUGAUAGCCUUGACUAUUGCAUUGGCCCGCUGCUAGAAUGACUGCCUGCUUACCAAGUCUUCCAUCCUACUUCCUUCAGUGCC
rnacentral:lncRNA from 1 species